CCUUGCUCACCCGCCCUCGGCCCCGCAAUCUGACGUCAGAGACGACACGUGAACACGGAGCGCAGGCGCGGCAACGGGGGCGAAGCUGGAACCCCGAGUGCAGACGUCGUUGGAGGAAAGCAGAGACUCAGCAUCUCAGGCUGGACCCAGCUUUCGUUGGAGGGACCAACAGACGAAUGGGAGAAAACCUGGUGUUUUCUGGGAGCUGCCAGUGGGGGGCCGAGCGCAAAGGAAGACCUUGAUUUGGAAGGACAGCUUGACGGGAAUUUGGAGCCCCGAGGGAAUCACACGCGCAAAGACAAACACGCACGCACAGCCGCACAGCUGACCUUAGCGACCGUCUGCGCUCUCUCCGUCUGGGAGGAGCGAGAGGAAACGACACUUCCAGAGGCCCACUAGGAGACAAAGUCAGCCCCAGCGGAGAACGACCGCCCCUGUUGAGCUCUUCCUGCUGUUUCCAGCUGCAUCUUGCCCAGGUGAAUACCGACGGACGGUAUUUAGUUCCUGUGCACCAGAAGCUCGUGACCCCUUGAAAGACAACUGAGGAAAGAGAUGGGGUCCAAGAUAGAAAAAUGUAAGGAGAACCUGCAACCCUAGUUUUCGCGGUGGCCUUGGUUCACAAUCCCCUUCCUGCCCAGAGACCGAGGACCACGCCCCUGCACACAGUAGGCACCUGCACACAGUAGGCAGAGCAAGCACAGACCUCCACUGUGACAGCCCCCUCUUCUCUUCCCUCUUCUCGAGAAAGUUCUGAUUCCCUCCCUGCCCCCUUUAUGGACAGUCUCUCCUGCAGCUUGUUUUAAUCACCUUUCGAGUUGAAAGUCAAUAUUUAAUUAACUGAGUAAUUACAUUCAGCUAACGUCUGGAUCCGGGUAUUUGCCCAUCUGUGCAUGUUGGGACGUCUGCCUUCUCGCCCCUCCAUCUGUCCCCCGACUCUUUCCCACAGUGCCCCCAGCUUAUGGGCAGACAAGGGGGCUGCUCGAGAGCAGGUUCUGGGGGUGACAGGGAGCAGGUGAGACGGGCUUUCCCUGGAGGACGCCCUCUCACCCGACCGUGAAGGGACUUCUUACAGCGCCCCUGCCUCCCGUCGCAGCACCGCCAGAGGGCUCUACUUAAAUUGGAGUCAAUCAUUCAACACGGAAAGUGGGUGGGGAGGACGGGCUGAAAGCCCUUCUCCGCAAGAGACUUCUCCCCAGCUUUGCUGUCUUGUGCCGUGGAGCAGAGAAACUCAUCGAAACAGCCUGUCAGAUCUGUGAAUACAGAGGUAAAGGAAAAAGAAAUAAAACCACGAAGCACAAUGCCUGCAUCCUGGAAGAAGCAACGGAUCAUCGAAACACGCCCCCUUCCCCGGCCUCCCGCUUUGCUCGGCCCUCGCGCUGUUUUCUCUCCACUGGAUGGAAAUGAGGUGCUCCUGUCACCCCACCACUUGUAAAGCAGGUUUCAGAGGGCCCAGCUGUGCAUGUGCAAAGGCCCUGGGGGCAGGACCCAGAAGGCAGCCUCCACAGCCCUCACUUGCGCCUGGCUGGGCAGACUGGAGCAGGGCACGACGGGACAAGAAGCUUCAUCCUGCUACCUGGCUGUGAGCUUGUUCGAGGUGGGGGCGGCACCUCGCAUGCAGUCUUCCCUUCUCUAUGGGGAGAGAAACACGGCAACAUGGAGACCUCGAUUGUAUUGUGUCUUUUGGCCGGGGUCCCGUGGCAGGGUGGUGCAUUUUCCAGGGACACCCUUUGGACAGGUAUUACUGGCUUAACCCAAUCCAAACAAAUCUUUGGAGAGUCUCUUUAGGGGUCAGGGCUUAGUCAGCCUCUGGGGGCACCCAGAUGGCAAUUCAGUGUCCUUGCCUUGAAGAACAGCCAGUGUAGACCAGCCGUCGCCAACAGCAGGCAUGCACAAUCGCACCGUUUCUGCAGUGGCCCAGGGCCACCUCUCCUGCUCCUUAAUGUCUUUCUGAACUGGACUUUGUAUUUCUAUGCUUAAGUAGUUUGGGGCUGCGACUAGGAAACCGAUGUCACCGGCACGAGCAGACCAGCAUAAAGCAGACAGCUACUCACCCUCGGCUCGCCGCUGCCCCGCUGAUGCCGGCGAGGCUUCGUGUCUGAGCUCGAGCAGAGAGGCGCCAACAGUGAAGGAGCUCCGGAGACUUUCUUCCUGACCUAGUCAACAGGAUGGAGACUGGAACAGAAAACAAAAUUCUCAAGUGCCAGUCACAGGUGUUCGGGCUACACUUACAGCGUUUAACGGGUGCCACGUGGCAGCGGCUCUCAUGUCUGCGCAUUAAGGAUCCAGGCAGACCCCAAGCCCCAGAACAGCAGGGCUGGGUUCUCCACUGCUCAUUCUCCUGCCUGUGCCCACCAGGUAGAAAUGAGGUGUCUUUUAGAGAACACCUGAGAUUGCUACAUUUCAAGUGUGCUUCCGAACCAGAUUAAAGGCAAAAAGAAUUUUUUGACUUUCAGAAUUUUAUUCCAUGAGAACACCCCACUAUACAUGGAAGGGCUGCAUACUAACUGCAUGAUCCAGGCCUGGACAAUCACUGUCCCCCAUGUACACACCCCAGGGGCAGGGGAGCAAGGGGUGAGGGAUGAGGGCAGAGGGGCAACAGAGGCAGAUCAUGCAGGGCCCUGCAAGAGGCUUUGGAUUUGAUUCUAAGAACAACGGAAGUUCAUGGGCAUGCUCUAUACAGGUGAAUAACAUCUGCAUCAUGUCUUCAAAGGCUCAUCUCUGCUGCAGGUGGAGAGGGGGUGGCCCAGGGACAAGAACAGAAGCAGAGAGACCUACUGGCAGCUGCUGUGGUCCAGGCGUGGAGCAGGGCUGGGUGCCAAAGGGAGAGAGGUGGGUGGAUUCUGGUUCUGUCUGUAAUGUUGGCAGGUAAUGUUCGAUGAUGGGUUGCAAGUGGGUGGAGAAGGAAGGAGAAUUGGGGAUGACUCCUAGGAUUGGGGCUGAGCCACUGGGCAGAUGGCGGUGCCAUUUACAGAGAGAGGCAGGCAGUAGGUGGAGGAACAGAUUGGGAAGGGUGGACAUUAAGCUGCUCUGCAGACGUGGCCCCCCAGGCCGGUGGCUGGUCGUCUGGUUCUGGGUGGCCAACUCCUCAGCCUUGGAAACACACCAUAUAGGCUACGCCUCAUUGACCAGAAAUCCUGCUGCCGAGGAUAGAAUGUUACUGAAUCAUGAGUGAAACGGUCAGGAAAGGACAAUUUGUGGGUGGAGCUGCUCGGAGAGGAAGUGACCCAGGACUGCUGAGUCCCACUGACGACACCCGAGCCCUGCCCUUGCCAGGCCCCUCCCCUCGCUGACAACGGCCGUAUCAGAAUUUCUCCCAGAAGCUUCUGCAACCAGAGCCAGCAGAAGGCAGAGGAGAAAAAAUUCACAGCAUGAUUUUUUUGAUUUUUCAGUCCAAUGUUCGUUAACGAAUUUCAAUACCGCCUCUUCAACAUCUGCUUAAUUGAUUCUGGGUUUAGGAACCAAUUUUGAGCCUUGGCUUUUUGUAGCUAAAACCAGCAAUAAUGCUUGCUUUUGUUCUGUAAUAUCCAAGAGUCAGGAAUGUUUCGCCUUUGCACCUUUGGGAGGAAACCUCAUCAGAGAAGCAGAUCCCAGGAAUCCAGUGUAAUCAUUCUGGAUUGAGUUAUAGGCCCAGCAAGAGUUGCCACCAGCAGCGGUGAACAUGUUAGGGUUCCCUCUGCCCAGAUGUGUUUUCUGAUGGCUGCUGUUUGUCCCCUGGGCCUUUCUCUAACCCCCUUCUGAAGACAGAGCUAUUCCGGGGCAGUCAGGUUGGUCCGGUGGGGCCCAGCCUCCUGCAGCUGGUAAACAGGUGUCACCAUGGGCGUGGGCGGGCACCUCACCAGCUCAGGCAUUGUGGACAUUCUGAGGAUACUCAAGGGCCAGGUGAAUCCCAGCCUGGUGGGUGGACACCAGCGGCCCGAGGUCAGGGCAGGACACAGACACGUUCCAGUGUUUCUACACAUGCUCAGGCCCCACCCCUGCCUGUGCAGUUCGCGGCCCACCCCAACCUGAACCUGAACCCACCCCUCCAAACACCAGGCCUGCAGCCUCUUUUCCUCCUGUGCACGCCUGCGGGCUCAUUUGGAACUUGCCUCUGUGCCACACUAGAGAGUUCUAUUUGCAAGUUUACCCUCUGACGUCUUGAGCCGGAGCCAGAGGUGGCGCGGUGAGUGUCCGUGGCGCUGGGGUGAAGGCGGAUGAGAGCACUGGGCAUGGUGGAGAUCACGGGGACAGGACAGGGUGUGCCCAGCUCAGAAAGCAGCCCUUACUACACACCUUCCCUGUGACUGUCCCUAAUGGAAAGGGGGACAGCUCGAGCCAGUCUUCUGAAUUUGCAAGCAGAGCCAGAAGCAAAGUCUCUCAAUUUAAAAAAAAAAAAAAUGUUAACAGCUAAUGGAAGAAAAAAAAAAAUGUUAUCACCUUGGGAGAGGGUCCCAAACAAACCCAUCUGUGGAAAGGAUUCAGACGACAGACUGGGUUACACUGUUGUGCUACACUUGCGAGCUACAGCAUUCAAGACCCUAAAAGGCUAGCAUGUAUUAAGUGCUUACUAUAUGCCCAGCAUUGGACUACAUUUAGGCUUUACAUGUAUUUUCUAAAUUGAUUUUGAAGGAGUUAAGAAUGUGCCCCCCCGAAAUAUGUCACCGUGGCCUAGUGACUGUUUUGAGCUAAGGGCACUUGAAAAGCAGCUGGUGCAGAUCAUUCUGAUCUUCAUGCUGUUUCUUAAAAGCAGGAGAUGGGGUUCCCACGUGGAGGAACCCCUCCCUCUACUAGGAGGAGGGUAACGUCCUUCUCAUCAAGGGCUGGAAAUUGAGACCAGAGAGUUCUGCACAACCUUGUUAAAAUGGCUCUAAUCUUCUUCCUGCACAGUUCCAUUGCUCUUUCACAGCUUCUACGCCUUGUCCAGUUCAGUACAUGCGAGUUUAGCUCUAACUGCGUCUUUGGGUCUCCAUCUCCUUAUGAAGGCUCUCGUGCCAAAUCAAACUUGUAUUAAAUUAAUGUUGCUUUUUCCCUGUUGUCAUAUGUCCAUUUAGUCCUCAGGCUCAGCUGAAAAACCCCUGCCUCCCCAACAACUUUCCAAACAAUCUGAAGGGGUGACAUUGUUAUCUCCCCACAUUACAGAUGAGGAAACUGAGGCACGGGGAGACUAAGUCCUUUUACACAGGUCACACAGAGAAUAGCAAGUCAGGAUUCAAGCCCAGGACUUCUCUGACCUCCCCACCAUCCUGGGUUUCGUGACUUAGAAUAUCCUGGAAAUUAUUCUUAGACUAAUUCUAGAAUUAUCCUAGAAAUGUAUACUUAAAAUAAAUCUUGGACCCAAAGCAAGCCAUGCCAUGUGCACUUGUAGAUGAGGCACAGUAAGGUGAGGCCUUCCAGGCAUGGGGCGCCUGGGCACCUGGGUCUCCCCAGGCGGACUCAUCUCCAGGCAGUUUUCUUCCUGGUCACUGACGCCUCCCCCGUGUUCUUCACGACACGAGUGAUACAACUGCCCUUCAAACGCUGAAAAAACAGCGUCCUUCACUCCCCACCCGCCACCGACACACCCCACCCCAGAGGCCAGUGUCACCCUCAGGCUGGUGCACAUUUUCCUUGCUUUCACUCACAGACAUAUGUAUACUAGACGUGCACGCAUGAGAUACACAUGCUGCGAAAUACAAAGCAGACUGAGUCAUUAGUUGGCGGCAGGGUUCUCUCCUAGAUGGUGGGAGCAGGGGGGGCCUCUCAGAGGAGGUGGCGUCUGCAGAGACUGAAGUACGAGAACAAGCCAGGCAGACAGAGGGGAAGAGCCAUCCAGACCGAGGGGCCAGCACGUGCAAAGGCCCUGAGACAGCAGCAUUUCUGGGUGUUUGAGGAAGAGCAAGGAGGCCCUGUGUCUGGAGUGGAGUGGGCGAGGUAGGGGGUGCUAGGGGCUGGGGUUGAGGGGAGGAAGGGGGGUCAGAUCACGGAGGGCCUACAGGCCAUAGGAAAGACUUGGCUUUUUUUAAAUUUCUGAACAAGAGCAGAAGUCUCAGAGGAUUUUGAGUGAUGAAAUAUGACGAGUUACUAUGUUGAAAGGCCACCCUGGCUGCUGAAUGGAGAACUCAGGCUGGGGGCCAAGGGUGGGUGCUGGAGGGCCACUUAGGAGACUUGUCCAGGCGGGAGGUGACAGUGUUAGACACAGAUUUAAGUUGAGACCCUGGGUUUACUGAUCCAGUGUCAUUACUCUCACUGUCCCAGCCUCUCUCCCUGUACUUUCCCAAGGAAUUCUGACAUCACUGAGUGCAAUUAUUUACCUAUAAUGAAACACACACACAACGUUCCUUGGCCACCCCUUCUCCCGAGCAGGGGCUGCAGGGAUUGGUCUAGAGGGUACUCUGUGUGCGUGAGCUCCCAGCUGGUGCCAGUCUCUUGGGCUGAUGUCUUUGGACUGGAAAAUUCAGCCUUUACCUUUGAAUCUUCAAAGUUCCAGACACCCUUGAAGGUUUCCUCCAGGAAACAGUACUUGCUCUAAACUUUGGAAAAUGGAAUUAAUCCAGCAUUUCCCGCGUGUGUUGCAUGUGAACACCAGUAGUGGGUGACAGUAUUGCUGGGUUUGAGGCUAAAACUUAAAAGUUUAAGAGCAGAUUAACGGAGCUCUCCACAGCUGGCGUACCUGGGCAGAGGUGAGCACGCCGAGCCGGCAGACAGGCCGGGAGGGAGCCGGCAGGCGAGAACACCCAACAGCUAAUUGCCUCCAAAAUUAGUAGGAUGGAAAAGUAAGCCCUUUAAGACCCUGGUUUUGAGCAGAUUAAAAGUAAGAAACGGUUCUGAGGGCUGUUUGCUUUCUGCCAACGCAGCACUUGGGGCUGCUGACGGCAGGUG